GCAAGUCGAACGAACCUUCGGGUGAGUGGCGCACGGGUGCGUAACGCGUGGGAAUAUGCCCUUGAGUACGGAAUAACUCACCGAAAGGUGCGCUAAUACCGUAUAAUGACUCCGGUCCAAAGAUUUAUCGCUCAAGGAUUAGCCCGCGUCUGAUUAGGUAGUUGGUGUGGUAAAGGCGCACCAAGCCGACGAUCAGUAGGGGGUUUGAGAGGAUGAUC
rnacentral:rRNA from 1 species